rnacentral:rRNA from 1 species
AACGGCCGUACCAUGCUGAAUAUACCGGUUCUCGUUAAGUCAAGCAUCAUUGGGCGCGGUCAGCACUUGGGUGGGUGACCACCUGGGAACACCGCGUGCCGUU